rnacentral:lncRNA from 1 species
GAAAUAGUUUUGGUGGAUUUGCAUAGUUUAAAGGUGAAAUGAUGUUAAAAGCCAAGAAGUGUUUGGAUGAAUUUCGUUUAGAUCUUCAUUUGACCACAAACACUCAGAGUAAGAUGCAAGAGGUGCACAAAUUCAAGCAAAACAGAAUAGGGAAAAGUGCAUGCAAGUCCCUCUAUGGCCAAACGACUGAGUCUUACAGAGCCUUACCUACUAACACCAGAAAAGAUUGGUUUAUUAUGAAGAUGGAGGGUUCUGUUGUGCUUAUUUCCCUGAUCUUGUACCAUGAAAGUCAUUAAGGGCUGAGUCCCCUUUAGAGCACAGAGAUGUGCCCUCUCAGCGAUCAGAUGUGUUUUGCCUGUAGUGCAGAGAAAAUAAAAAUGCUUCUGAGGUGCUGGGGAAAGCUUGCCUGCAAGUAGUGGCUAAGUAGAUUGUGUCCCUAUGUAGUGUCUAGUUCAAAUUGUGGAUAAAAACCUACUACUGCAACCAGCUAAUGGAAAUACUCCUUCAGCUCACAUGGUAGAGCUCUGCUCUUUUGGUGCUCAAACUCACAGAUUAAAUCCCUGCUAAUGAAGGAUGGUGGAGGUUAUAUCUCCAUUUUGGAAGAACAGCUUUAAGUUACUGUAGCACCAGUUGCCUGGGAUUGCCAGCCACAAUCAUAACCUCACCCACUCCCAGACCUGUUUUCGGCCAGGUAGCAUUGCUGGCAGUGUUAACACUUCCCACCAUUGUUCUGAAAGAAUGCGAGCAGCUGGCUUUUGGCUGCUCCCUACACAAGAGACACCCCCUGUAUCCUUUCCAUCCUCACUCUGUAUAGCUGUGCAAGAGCAGGGAGAAUAUGGUCCUGAAUGAUCUUUUAUGUAUAUGGAGCAUUUUACUGACCAUUACAUUUGCAUUUUUUCUGCACUUCUAGCUACUAAUGGAUUCAGAGGCUGUCUCUCAAAAGACACAACACAGAAGAGGCAGCCCAGAAGGAGGUGCUUUUCCUGCUUUACCUGGCUGCCUAUGUGCUCUACUGUAGCUCAGAAUCCACAUGACUUGGAGAACUACAGUUGCUUUAGAGUCUGUCUAUUUAAGCAGCUCAGAAGGGACACAGGUUGUGGCAUGGACCCUGAAGAAGAGAACAACAGAUACAUCAUGAUCUCAGUGGAGCAUUUGCCCAUCUGUGCACAGUGCUGGAGCCUCAUAUCCCUGGGCAGUUCAGAUCAUAACAUCCUCAUUCAUUCUGAACUAUAGUGUCUGAGGUGCCGUAGCUCCUCCGCACAUUACUAUCUACCUAUCUGGAAGCAGAAUCUAUGGAUGCCGGCAGAUGGUGUCUAUCUGCGUGUUUGUACAGCCCCUAACAGGAUGGGACCCAAUUGUACUGGCACUUGUAGGCACUGCUGCAAUGCAAAUGUAUGAAAAUAAGUACCAACAAAGUACAUUUUACCUACAGGAGAUUUUUUGGCUUGAAGGGAAAGUACUAUAUAGCAUGUAGAAUUCUCUAUACUUAUUUACCAG